GAUGAACGCUGGCGGCGUGCCUAAUACAUGCCAGUCGAGCGAACGGACGAGAAGCUUUCUUCUCUGAUGUUAGCGGCGGACGGGUGAGUAACACGUGGAUAACCUACCUAUAAGACUGGGAUAACUUCGGGAAACCGGAGCUAAUACCGGAUGAUAUUUUGAACCGCAUGGUUCAAAAGUGAAAGACGGUCUUGCUGUCACUUAUAGAUGGAUCCGCGCUGCAUUAGCUAGUUGGUAAGGUAACGGCUUACCAAGGCAACGAUGCAUAGCCGACCUGAGAGGGUGAUCGGCCACACUGGAACUGAGACACGGUCCAGACUCCUACGGGAGGCAGCAGUAGGGAAUCUUCCGCAAUGGGCGAAAGCCUGACGGAGCAACGCCGCGUGAGUGAUGAAGGUCUUCGGAUCGUAAAACUCUGUUAUUAGGGAAGAACAUAUGUGUAAGUAACUGUGCACAUCUUGACGGUACCUAAUCAGAAAGCCACGGCUAACUACGUG
rnacentral:rRNA from 1 species